GACGAACGCUGGCGGCGUGCUUAACACAUGCAAGUCGAACGGAAAGGCCCUGCUUGCAGGGUACUCGAGUGGCGAACGGGUGAGUAACACGUGGGUGAUCUGCCCUGCACUUCGGGAUAAGCCUGGGAAACUGGGUCUAAUACCGGAUAUGACCUUCCAUGUAGUGUGGGGGGUGGAAAGAUUUAUCGGUGUGGGAUGAGCCCGCGGCCUAUCUGCUUGUUGGUGGGGUAAUGGCCUACCAAGGCGUCGACGGGUAGCCGGCCUGAGAGGGUGGACGGCCACAUUGGGACUGAGAUACGGCCCAGACUCCUACGGGAGGCAGCAGUGGGGAAUAUUGCACAAUGGGCGGAAGCCUUAUGCAGCGACGCCGCGUGGGGGAUGACGGCCUUCGGGUUGUAAACCUCUUUCGACAGGGACGAAGCUUCGGUGACGGUACCUGUAUAAGAAGCACCGGCUAACUACGUG
rnacentral:rRNA from 1 species